GACGAACGCUGGCGGCGUGCUUAACACAUGCAAGUCGAGCGGAGCGGCGAACGGGUGAGUAAAGCGUGAGGAACUGCACCCCUCUCUGGGAUAACAGUAGGAAACGGCUGCUAAUACCGGAUAGGUGGGGAUGGCUGGGGUCCUAUCAGCUUGUUGGUGGGGUAGUGGCCUAACCAGGCGACGACGGGUAGCCGGCCUGAGAGGGCGACCGUGCACAUUGGUCUGAGAUACGGCCCAAACUCCUACGGGAGGCAGCAGUGGGGAGUAUUGCGCAGUGCGGGAGACCCUGAGACGGCAGCGCCGCGGGCGGAAUGUCUGCCUUCGGGUUGUAAACCGCUUUCAGCCAUGACGCGUUAGUCGCAGAAGAAGCACCGGCUAACUACGUGCCAGCAGCCGCGGUAAUAC
rnacentral:rRNA from 1 species